CUCUGCUCCCAGCCUAGCUGUGCAGCCUGGGGGGGGGGGGGGGGGGGGGGGCUCUCUGAGCCUCAGUUUCUCCAUCGGUGAAAUGGGGGUAGUUAGUCCUCCCUCGGGGUUGUGAGAGUGGAGAGCGAGCAGAGUGAAGCUGUCGCUAACAUCAUCCACAACGAUUCUGGUCCAACCCCGGGUCCUGCGGCCUCCAUCCAGCUGCACCCCGGAUGCUACCAGAGGCUCUUGGUCUCCUUUGAGAGAAAGAAUUCGAGGACAGACCAGGCGUAACGGCUGAGUGGUUCAAGAAGGAACGUGUAAUUCAAGCGAGCGUACACUCUUUGAGAGGCUGUGUUCCAGGUAUCAGUUCAUCCCAUCACCCCCAACAACGCUGAGCUUCCCGGGGCUGGAACAGAUGACCGUGAACCUGCCACAUUUCAAACAACUAGUUCUCACACAGUCCAGGGGGCCGGAGGCCUGGAACCCAAGUGGUGGCGAGGUGGGCUCCUCCCGGGGGCUCAGAGGGAGCGCCCAACCCAGGCCUGUCUCCUGGCUUCCCGUGGUCGCCGGCAGCCCGUGGGGUUCCUUGGCUUGUGGCUGCAUCACCCCGAUGUCUGCCUCUAUGUCCACGUGCACGUGGCCUUUGUCUCUGUCUUCUUCUUUGUCCCUUAACCCGAGUCCCCGAAACUCUUGUCUCCAGAUCCAAAGCUCAUUAUGUUUGCAGUGACCCUUGUUAAAGAACAAAAAUUGGACGAGUAGAAGAUCUAAUUGCCUUUAUCAAGCCAGACACGGGGUGCCUGGGUGGUUCAGUCGCUCAAACGUCCGACUUCAGCUCAGGUUACGAUCUCAUGGCUCAUGGGUUCGAGCCCCGCAGCGGGCUCUGUGCUGACCGCUCAGAGCCCGGAGCCUGC